CUUGGAUAAACGAGGUGUACGCCAAACAUUGAUUAUACAGAGAAUUUUGGAUGUAACUAGAUGCUGUGCCUUGGCUGCAACAAGUAUGUUGAUUACUCAAGGAUUGAUUAGUAAAGGAAUCCUUUCAAGUCAUCCCAAAUAUGGUUCCAUCCCUAAACUUAUACUUGCUUGCAUCAUGACAUACUCUGGUGGAAAGCUCUCUUUCAUGGAAACUUGCCAAGAGAAGUUCAAGAACCUUAAAUUUCCCCCUCUGGGAGAAGAUUUAUGAUCAGGGCAAACACAACAAUCUUUGCCACCUGGGCAUUAUUUUCAAAAGUCAAAAUAUGACUCAAAUAUGAGUGGUCAGUCCUCUUUUGUGACAUCCCUAGCAGCAGACAACAUAGAAAAAGAGAUGCUGCCUCAUUAU
rnacentral:lncRNA from 1 species